ACUUAAGUAGUGUAUUUGCUGUAAACAUGGACGUAAAUCAAUAUGUGGGCAUAAGAUGGAUGUGCAAGGAAUUGCAUGUCCAUAAAGAAACCUAUGGCUAUGA